rnacentral:rRNA from 1 species
CCUACGGGUGGCAGCAGUGAGGAAUAUUGGUCAAUGGACGCAAGUCUGAACCAGCCAUGCCGCGUGCAGGAAGACGGCUCUAUGAGUUGUAAACUGCUUUUGUACGAGGGUAAACGCAGAUACGUGUAUCUGUCUGAAAGUAUCGUACGAAUAAGGAUCGGCUAACUCCGUGCCAGCAGACGCGGUAAUACGGAGGAUUCAAGCGUUAUCCGGAUUUAUUGGGUUUAAAGGGUGCGUAGGCGGUCGGAUAAGUUAGAGGUGAAAUCCCGAGGCUCAACUUCGGAAUUGCCUCUGAUACUGUUCGGCUAGAGAGUAGUUGCGGUAGGCGGAAUGUAUGGUGUAGCGGUGAAAUGCUUAGAGAUCAUACAGAACACCGAUUGCGAAGGCAGCUUACCAAGCUACUUCUGACGUUGAGGCACGAAAGCGUGGGGAGCGAACAGGAUUAGAUACCCCAGUAGUC